rnacentral:rRNA from 1 species
GACGAACGCUGGCGGCGUGCUUAACACAUGCAAGUCGAACGGAAAGGCCCUGCUUUUGUGGGGUGCUCGAGUGGCGAACGGGUGAGUAACACGUGAGUAACCUGCCCUUGACUUUGGGAUAACUUCAGGAAACUGGGGCUAAUACCGGAUAGGAGCUCCUGCUGCAUGGUGGGGGUUGGAAAGUUUCGGCGGUUGGGGAUGGGCUCGCGGCUUAUCCGCUUGUUGGUGAGGUAGUGGCUUACCAAGGCUUUGACGGGUAGCCGGCCUGAGAGGGUGACCGGCCACAUUGGGACUGAGAUAGGGCCCAGACUCCUACGGGAGGCAGCAGUGGGGAAUAUUGCACAAUGGGCGGAAGCCUGAUGCAGCAACGCCGCGUGCGGGAUGACGGCCUUCGGGUUGUAAACCGCUUUCGCCUGUGACGAAGCGUGAGUGACGGUAAUGGGUAAAGAAGCACCGGCUAACUACGUG